CAUGGAGGAGUAGCUGAUGAGAUUGAAAGAGAGAGAGCUAAGGAUUUGGAAGUGAAGUCGAUCUCAAUCGAAGCCGUAAAAGGGGGUGAAGGAAAAGGUAGCGGCGUACGAGCUACAUCGGAGCUAUGGCGAAGAGGAUUCGCUGAUAGACUUCAUCACCGCUUCGAAGAGGACAAGGAGCUUGACGAUGGUGAUUGAUGGCGAUUAAGGAUCUUCAGGCGGAGUGGUCUAUGGAGUAACUCGAGGAAGGAGAAGAAACUCUCCAGGUUCGUCGACGUUUCCAGAAGACAAAGUAAAAGCAGUUGGGCCAUAAGGUGUGGACAGCAAUAUGGGCCUUAGGUGAAGAAUUGUGAAGUAUAGGCCCAAUUUCUGGGCCCACACAAGUCCAGCAGCAACCUUUGAAGACCUGAAACAAAAGGAAUAAUCACGUUAGUUUCCUUUUCACGUAAAAAUGUUGAAUACAAUCAGGAAUAGAAAAUCUAAUGACGGUGGCUGGAGUUAUAAAUAGGGAGGUAGUCAAGGCUUUAAGGAUCAUCCGAUAAACACAGACAAUAACAAGCAAGAGAGAAAGAUCAAGAGCAAUAUUAAAGCCUUUGUUUACUUAUUAAACUUGUGAUCUUUAAUAGUUGUUAUUGUGAGACUCUUUUGCAUUCUUGAAUAAAAGAUACGUUUUGGUUCAUUGUUAUUCUAAAGCACAAGUUGGAUUGAAUUCCUAACAAGUAAUAUACCAAAUAACUCAAACCACAAAUAAAAUAUAGAAAAUGAGAAUCAAAACACACCAACAUAAUAAUUCAAAAACAAGCCAAAUCACACCUUCAAACACAAUCUCUUGUUUAAGAUUUUUCAAGCGGCGGAAGGUGCAGGAGGAGACAAAUAUGUAACUGACGGUCCGGGUACUGAAGCUAUGAUUGUUGAUGUAGACAGAUUUUCUUUCAAAUCGGCAGCGCUUUUCGCUUUAAAAUCAAGGGAUUCGUCGUUAUAAAUAUCCCACCAUUGCUUAAUUAACAUUUUUACGUCUUCUCUGUCCAUGUUAGGCUCUUCUCCUGUGUACCUCCAUGGCUUGGCUCCCUAUCAUCUUAAACUUCAUCAAUAACACAAAAUGACGAAAAAUGGACAAAAUUUUCGUUUCCGAUCGAGACAUGUUUUUUAUAAAGUUGUGUUUAGGACAAAAUAUAUAUUAGUUUUAUAUGAUAAUAAAUAUGUAUAUUAUAUCACAUGACAAAAUGGUUUAGUAGAAAAUCAGUUCCCAUACAAAAUUGGAUAUAUAAACGUACAGUGUGCAACAUAAUGAAAUUACGGGGAAUAAAUAUUAUACGUCUUGUAAUUUUUACACAUUUUUGAAACAGUUUAAAAUGUAUAUAGUUGCCAACUUAGAUAGUCUUCUAUAUAAUAAGAAAAAUAAAACUUUAAAAGAAGUAAUUAUCUAAGUUUUCUAAAUUUCAUUUGGGACUAUUUUGAAACGUUCGAAAAUGAAAUGUGAAUUUUUACACAUUUUCAAACCGUAAUGUAUUUGAAAGUACUUACAGGUGGACAGUAGUGAACAACUUUGACUGUCUCCAGGUUAACGCUUCCCGGAUGACGCCAAAGCACAGACAGAAUCAAGUUGUAAACCGGAGGGACCGGUUUAAAAACUUUCGCAAAGAACAUAUUGAGAAAAUCCUGUCAAAGUAAUCCAAAUAAAAAAAAUACAUCAAAAAAGAUUUGGAACAUCAUUACCGAAGCCCCAUAGUUAUAAUCCAUGUAUGACUCACUUGCUCCGCAAAUGGUGUAGGUGGUGUGAUCUGGAGGGUAUGAAGGAGACUUUCAUAUGUCAAAGGGUUAGGCUCAAAAACAAACAUACCUGCGUUAAAGUAUGGAGGAGGAGGAAGAGAUUCCAUCUCGGCCGGCCACAUAACCUCUGGACGGUACUGACACCACCCGAUCGAGUAUAGAGGCAAGUAGCUCCAUAUUUUCUCACAGAAACAACUCAACACGCCGUGUAAAUAACCGUCUUCCAUAUCGAAGAGGUCAUCGAUAUUGUCAUAGACUUGUAUGUCUGCAUCUAAGUAAAUCAUCUUGCUGUACUCUUCAAACUGCAAGAUUAAGAUGUAAAUCAGCAUCAAUAUAACUAUCACAUAUACAUGUAUACAGUACUGUCAUGUAAGAUUGAUCGUACAUGCAUAUAGUAUACGGUCUUGAUUGUUUAAAAAAAAGUGUUGGGAUGUGAAAAUGACUUGCAUUUUCCAAAAGUAUAUAAUUUUGUUGUAAAAUACUUUUGUAAAUUUAAAAGGCAAUUACGUAAAGCGUAAGUUGUUUGUAUCAAUUAACUGAAUUAAGUUACAACUAGAUUCUGACCCGCCCUUUCAAAAGUCAAGUAAAAUUUUGGGAAAUUACUCAAAAUGACUCAAAUUAUAUAUGUAAUGACUAGAAUAACUCUUAUAAUUUUGUAUUUACUAGAAUAAUUCAUAAGGGAAACAAAAAUACCAAAAAACCAGUCUAAGCUGACAUUAUAUUUUAUUAAUAGGAAUAAAUUUUUAAUUGUGUAAAAGCAAAAAAAAUAGAAAGUCGACUUCUCUUUCUCUUUCGCAGCCGCAUGGGACGACACCAAAGGAGUUUUUUUCUCCGACACUUCCAUCUCCGAUCUCCGACACCUCUUUCUCCAUCACCACCUUCGAAGGUCAUGGCCGUAUUCAAUUUCUAACACCCCAACCCCAUCUCGUCUUCCUGUUUGUUGUCGUCGACGAACCCUAACCCCACACCACUGAUUUAAGUCACCACCGCAUUCAACUCCCAGAAACUUGAAGCCGCUGGCUUCAUCUUCUGCCGUUAGAAUGUAUCUUCCGCGCUUAUACGAAGUUAAGAAAACACCAAUUCACAACAAGAGUUAUUUAAACGAUCAAGAAGAUGAAGAUGUAUUGUUUUCCCGUGUAGCCAGCGGAAGAGCUGGUGUAUCAUGCUCUCCUUUAGUGACUUAUGCCGACUAUAACCAAGAAAGAAUAGAAAAUCAGAUUUGGAUUAUGAGGCCAAGGUUAAGACACAUAGGAUCAAAUUCUCAAUUUUUCUCGUGUGGGUGAAACUGACUCAAGACAAGACAAGAGAAAAAGACUGAAACAUGCUCAAGACGGGAAAUGAUCAAGGGUGUGCUGAGAUGGGGAUUGACUGAUCUGAGUUUUUUCUCUAUUGUAGUUGUGGGGCUUGUAACACUGAAAGUUUUAGCAUCUUGGAAUGAACGAAAGAAAUCAGAUACCUUGUUGUUCCCUAAAAGUUUAUUGGCAUUGUAAAGAGUUUAAAUUGUUGAUGUCAUCCACAUCCUCUUUUGAGCACACAGUGGGGUAGUAAUAGAUCACAUCCUCGUUUCCUUUUUACACUAACAAAGAAAACAAAUGCAAGGUUUUUGGCUGAGCUGCGAUGCAUUGUGAUUUCCAUCAUUGUGAGUGGAAGGGAUAAUACGAAAAAGAAAAAUUAUUCAUUCUUUGUAGUUUUUAACUUAGAAUAAAGAAGACUGAUGCUUUUAAUCUCUCACCACUUGUAAUAAUAAUUUCGUAUGUAAGAAUGGAUGAGGAUCCAUUGAAUAUGUUUUUAUAUUGUUUGUGAUCCAUGUUUCACCAAGCAAAAAGAUUGCAACAAGUGAUUAAACCACCAUGAAAAAUAACAACUUGAUAAGGAAGAAAAAAGAUGAAAGAAAAGAAGACAAGUACCAAAAAUUUACCUAAUUCUGGAUCUUAAUCAUCCUAAAAAUAAACCAGAUUCAAAAUUAAUAUAAAACAGGUCAAAAUUCAACAUUAAAUUAAGUUUGGUUUACACAAACCCAAAUUUUCGUCAAUAAAUCUACUACAACAUAAAUUAAAAAGUCUGUCACCACAUAAACAAAAAGUCUACCAACAAUUUUAAAUCGGAUAUAAAACUCUACCGUAAGAAAAUAAGUCUAACAUAAAAAAUAAGUCUGUACAUAAGAAAAUAAAUUGACCACAAAAAUCUACCAUUUAUAACAAAUCUGCUACCUCAUUCGACAGACAUAUUCUUAAAAGUCUAUUUUUUAUUCAAAUCGGACAAAUAACUCUGCCGUAGAAACAAAUCUAACGUUUCUAAGAAAGUCUGACACCACUUUAACAAUA